UGCUUUUCCAUCUUCCAGUGUGUGACAUCCUUUGUCUCCUAUUCCUCUUUUCUUUGGAGCAGUGUGUGCCCAGCCCUGCCCACCAGGGACAUUUGGCCAGAACUGCAGCCAGGAUUGUCCUUGCCACCAUGGAGGGCAGUGUGACCACGUGACUGGACAGUGCCACUGUACAGCUGGAUACAUGGGGGACAGGUGCCAAGAGGAGUGCCCCUUCGGGUCCUUCGGCUUCCAGUGCUCACAGCACUGUGACUGCCACAAUGGGGGGCAGUGUUCACCCACCACGGGUGCCUGCGAGUGUGAGCCUGGCUACAAGGGCCCACGCUGCCAGGAGCGACUGUGCCCGGAGGGCCUGCAUGGCCCAGGCUGCACCCUGCCCUGCCCCUGUGACGCUGACAACACCAUCAGCUGCCACCCAGUAACUGGAGCUUGUACCUGCCAGCCAGGCUGGUCUGGUCACCACUGCAAUGAAUCCUGCCCUGUUGGCUACUAUGGCGAUGGCUGCCAGCUGCCUUGCACCUGUCAGAAUGGCGCCGACUGCCACAGCAUCACUGGGGGCUGCACUUGUGCUCCGGGCUUCAUGGGAGAGGUCUGUGCCGUUUCCUGUGCAGCAGGGACCUAUGGCCCCAACUGCUCGUCCAUCUGUAGCUGUAACAAUGGUGGCACCUGCUCCCCAGUAGAUGGCUCCUGUACCUGCAAGGAAGGGUGGCAGGGCCUGGACUGCACCCUGCCAUGUCCCAGUGGGACGUGGGGCCUGAACUGCAACGAGAGCUGCACCUGUGCCAAUGGGGCAGCCUGCAGCCCCAUAGACGGCUCCUGCUCCUGCACUCCUGGCUGGCUGGGAGACACCUGUGAGCUGCCUUGCCC
rnacentral:misc_RNA from 1 species